rnacentral:pre_miRNA from 1 species
GUUGAGAGGAAUGUCGUCUGGCCCGAGCCCGCGCCACGGCAGGUACACGUGGACGGUCUCGGACCAGGCUUCAUUCCCCCCAAC